rnacentral:rRNA from 1 species
AGGAUGAACGCUGGCGGCGUGCUUAACACAUGCAAGUCGAACGGUGAAGCCCAGCUUGCUGGGUGGAUCAGUGGCGAACGGGUGAGUAACACGUGAGCAACCUGCCCCUGACUCUGGGAUAARCGCUGGAAACGGCGUCUAAUACUGGAUACGAGUAGCGACCGCAUGGUCAGUUACUGGAAAGAUUUAUUGGUUGGGGAUGGGCUCGCGGCCUAUCAGCUUGUUGGUGAGGUAAUGGCUCACCAAGGCGUCGACGGGUAGCCGGCCUGAGAGGGUGACCGGCCACACUGGGACUGAGACACGGCCCAGACUCCUACGGGAGGCAGCAGUGGGGAAUAUUGCACAAUGGGCGCAAGCCUGAUGCAGCAACGCCGCGUGAGGGAUGACGGCCUUCGGGUUGUAAACCUCUUUUAGCAGGGAAGAAGCGAAAGUGACGGUA